UUUUGUCCCAGUGGUAAAAAACAUGGAGAAAGCUUGAGGCCGGAGGUUCUCCUUAUUGUAGAUGAAAAACCCAAGAUGGAGAUGAUCAGUACCCCAUUCUUUAAUAGCUCACAGCGGGACCCUUGAGCGUGCCAGACAAAACAGCAAAAAUGCAAAUUGAGGCUGACAUUUCAGUAGGUCCAAGGUCAUGAAUACGCUGGAGCACUUUGCUAAGCCAUGAUUUCCCCAAAUGGAAAUGAAGAGACAGGAUCUCACUACGCUGCCCAGGCUGGUCUCAAAAU